rnacentral:rRNA from 1 species
GUCCACGCCCUAAACGAUGUCAACUAGGUGUUGGGAGGGUAAACCUUUAGUACCGUAGCUAACGCGAGAAGUUGACCGCCUGGGGAGUACGGCCGCAAGGUUAAACUCAAAGGAAUUGACGGGACCCGCACAAGCGGUGGAUGAUGUGGAUUAAUUCGAUGCAACGCGAAAACCUUACCUACCCUUGACAUGUCAGGAACUUUCCAGAGAUGGAUUGGUGCCCGAAAGGGAACCUGAACACAGGUGCUGCAUGGCUGUCGU